AGAUGUCCCUGCAGGAGAUGCAUCUGUCCGCUCCCCACUCAUUUCAUCUCAUCUGAACAGAUCUCAUCUCAUCAGAACAGAACUCAUCUCAUCUUAUCCCUCCACACCCACACCCCACUACACCACCACACCCCACUACACCACCUCCACACACCACCACACCCCACUACACCACCUCCACACUACACCACCUCCACACUACACCACCUCCACACACCACCUCCACACACCACCACACCCCAUCACACACCUCCACACACCACCUCCACCACACACCACCACCUCCACACACCUCCACACACCACCACCACACCACACCACCUCCACACACCACCACCACACCACACCACCUCCACACCCCAUCACACACCUCCACACACCACUACACCACCUCCACACCCCACUACACCACCUCCACACACCACCUCCACACGCCUCCACACACCACUACACCACCUCCACACGCCUCCACACACCACUACACCGCCUCCACACACCACUACACCACCUCCACACCCCACCACACACCUCCACACACCUCCACACCCCACCUCCACACACCACUACACCACCUCCACACCCCACUACACCACCUCCACACACCACUACACCACCUCCACACCCCACUACACCACCUCCACACACCACUACACCACCUCCACACGCCUCCACACACCACUACACCACCUCCACACGCCUCCACACGCCUCCACACACCACUACACCACCUCCACACGCCUCCACACACCUCCACACCCCACUACACCACCUCCACACACCUCCACACCACCUCCACACCCCACCACACACCUCCACACACCACCACACACCUCCACACACCACUACACCACCUCCACACACCACUACACCACCUCCACACACCACUACACCACCUCCCACACACCACUACACACCUUCACACACCACUACACCACCUCCACACGCCUCCACACCCCACUACAACACCUCCACACGCCUCCACACCCCACUACACCACCUCCACUACACACCUCCACACACCACUACACCACCUCCACACACCACUACACCACCUCCACACCACCUCCACACCCCACCACACACCUCCACACACCACUACACCACCUCCACACGCCUCCACACCCCACUACACCACUACACACCUCCACACACCACCUCCACACACCACCUCCACACCCCACUACACCACCUCCACACCCCACUACACCACCUCCACACGCCUCCACACACCACUACACCACCUCCACACCCCACUACACCACCUCCACACGCCUCCACACACCACUACACCACCUCCACACACCACUACACACCUCCACACACCACUACACCACCUCCACACCCCACCACACACCACUACACCACCUCCACACCCCACUACACCACCUCCACACACCACUACACCACCUCCACACACCUCCACACACCAUUACACACCCCUACACCACCUCCACACCCCACCACACACCUCCACACCCCACUACACACCUCCACACACCACUACACCACCUCCACACCACCUCCACACCCCACCACACACCUCCACAAAACCACAAAACAUACAUGAUGUACUUUUGA
ensembl:lncRNA